rnacentral:misc_RNA from 1 species
AAGUCGUAACAAGGUUUCCGUAGGUGAACCUGCGGAAGGAUCAUUAUCGAGUUUUGAAAUGGGUUGUAGCUGGUCUCCUCGGAGGCAUGUGCACGCCCUGCUCAUCCACUCUACACCUGUGCACUUACUGUAGAUAUUGGAGAGGCGUCACGUCGUUUAUGACGAGGCGUUGACCCGUAUCUAUGUUUCACUACAAACGCUUCAGUAUCAGAAUGUGUAUUGCGAUGUAACGCAUCUAUAUACAACUUUCAGCAACGGAUCUCUUGGCUCUC